GAUGAACGCUGGCGGCGUGCCUAAUACAUGCAAGUCGAGCGAACGGACGAGAAGCUUGCUUCUCUGACGUUAGCGGCGGACGGGUGAGUAACACGUGGAUAACCUACCUAUAAGACUGGGAUAACUUCGGGAAACCGGAGCUAAUACCGGAUAAUAUUUUGAACCGCAUGGUUCAAAAGUGAAAGACGGUCUUGCUGUCACUUAUAGAUGGAUCCGCGCUGCAUUAGCUAGUUGGUAAGGUAACGGCUUACCAAGGCAACGAUGCAUAGCCGACCUGAGAGGGUGAUCGGCCACACUGGAACUGAGACACGGUCCAGACUCCUACGGGAGGCAGCAGUAGGGAAUCUUCCGCAAUGGGCGGAAGCCUGACGGAGCAACGCCGCGUGAGUGAUGAAGGUCUUCGGAUCGUAAAACUCUGUUAUUAGGGAAGAACAUAUGUGUAAGUAACUGUGCACAUCUUGACGGUACCUAAUCAGAAAGCCACGGCUAACUACGUG
rnacentral:rRNA from 1 species